UACGAAGGGGCUAGCGUUGCUCGGAAUCACUGGGCGUAAAGGGUGCGUAGGCGGGUCUUUAAGUCAGGGGUGAAAUCCUGGAGCUCAACUCCAGAACUGCCUUUGAUACUGAAGAUCUUGAGUUCGGGAGAGGUGAGUGGAACUGCGAGUGUAGAGGUGAAAUUCGUAGAUAUUCGCAAGAACACCAGUGGCGAAGGCGGCUCACUGGCCCGAGUACUGACGCUGAGGCGCGAAAGCUA
rnacentral:rRNA from 1 species